AUAUGGUCAAGAAGAGAAGCGCAAACGGUGGAUGCCUUGGCAGUAAGAGGCGAAGAAGGACGUGGAAUCCUGCGAAAAGCUUUGGGGAGCUGGAAACGAGCUGUGAUCCGAAGAUGUCCGAAUGGGGGAACCCGGCUUUGCGAGAGCGAGGUCAUCUGUGACUGAAUACAUAGGUUACGGAAGCGAACUCGGGGAACUGAAACAUCUAAGUACCCGAAGGAAAAGAAAUCAAACGAGAUUCUCCAAGUAGCGGCGAGCGAACGGGGAGGAGCCUGGUGUGAUAUAUCAUUGAAGCGAGUAGAAGGUUCUGGGAAGUACCACGAUACAGGGUGAAAGUCCCGUAUACGAAGCGGAUAUGAGGAACUAAGCACACGAACAAGUAGGCUGGGACACGUGAAAUCCUGGUUGAAUAUGGGUGGACCAUCAUCCAAGGCUAAAUACUCCUUACUGACCGAUAGUGCACCAGUACCGUGAGGGAAAGGCGAAAAGAACCCCGGAGAGGGGAGUGAAAUAGAACCUGAAACCGUUUGCGUACAAGCAGUGGGAGCUAGGUUUAGGCUUAGUGACUGCGUACCUUUUGUAUAAUGGGUCAGCGAGUUACUUUCAGUGGCGAGGUUAACUAAUAAGGGAGCCGUAGAGAAAUCGAGUCUGAAUAGGGCGAGAGUCGCUGGGAGUAGACCCGAAACCGGGCGAUCUAGCCAUGUGCAGGAUGAAGGUUGGGUAACACCAACUGGAGGUCCGAACCGGGUAAUGUUGAAAAAUUAUCGGAUGACGUGUGGCUAGGAGUGAAAGGCUAAUCAAGCCCGGAGAUAGCUGGUUCUCCCCGAAAGCUAUUUAGGUAGCGCCUUGUGGGAUGAUUACUGGGGGUAGAGCACUGUUUCGGCUAGGGGGCUGUCAUGGCUUACCAAACCGAUGCAAACUCCGAAUACCGGAUAAUUGGACCACGGGAGACACACGGCGGGUGCUAACGUCCGUCGUGGAGAGGGCAACAACCCAGACCGUCGGCUAAGGUCCCAAAGUUAUGGUUAAGUGGGAAACGAUGUGGGAAGGCACAGACAGCCAGGAGGUUGGCUUAGAAGCAGCCACCCUUUAAAGAAAGCGUAAUAGCUCACUGGUCGAGUCGGCCUGCGCGGAAGAUGUAACGGGGCUAAAACCAUACACCGAAGCUGCGGAUGUGCACUAAGUGCACGUGGUAGGGGAGCGUUCUGUAGGCUGAAGAAGGUUCACUGAGAGGUGGGCUGGAGGUAUCAGAAGUGCGAAUGCUGACAUGAGUAACGAUAAAGUGGGUGAAAA
rnacentral:rRNA from 1 species